AUGAGCAUCAGGCUCCUGUGCUGUGUGGCCUUUUCUCUCCUGUGGGCAGGUCCAGUGACUGCUGGGAUCACCCAGGCACCAACAUCUCAGAUCCUGGCAGCAGGACGGAGCAUGACACUGAGAUGUACCCAGGAUAUGAGACAUAAUGCCAUGUACUGGUAUAGACAAGAUCUAGGACUGGGGCUAAGGCUCAUCCAUUAUUCAAAUACUGCAGGUACCACUGGCAAAGGAGAAGUCCCUGAUGGUUAUAGUGUCUCCAGAGCAAACACAGAUGAUUUCCCCCUCACGUUGGCGUCUGCUGUACCCUCUCAGACAUCUGUGUACUUCUGUGCCAGCAGUGACUC